rnacentral:rRNA from 1 species
CAGUCGCCGCGGUAAUACAGAGGGUGCAAGCGUUAAUCGGAUUUACUGGGCGUAAAGGGCGCGUAGGUGGUUAUGUAAGUGAGAUGUGAAAUCCCCGGGCUCAACCUGGGAACUGCAUCUUAUACUGCGUAGCUGGAGUGCAGUAGAGGGUAGUGGAAUUUCCGGUGUAGCGGUGAAAUGCGUAGAUAUCGGAAGGAACACCAGUGGCGAAGGCGGCUACCUGGACUGACACUGACACUGAGGCGCGAAAGCGUGGGGAGCAAACAGGAUUAGAUACCCGAGUAGUCCCUGUCUCUUAUAC